UUUGAUUCUUUAAGGUAGUUUGUGUCACGGCUGUGGCAGUGCCCUCUCUCCCCUGUUAACCCUCCUCUCUGCCUUUGCCCCCUCCUUCCUGUGUGCUUGGUGAAGGUGUGGCUCAGGAGACACACCUGUGAGUGAUCUGAAUCAGCAGCACUACAAAUACCUGGUCCUCCUGCCACUUCAGUGCCGGAUUGUUCCUUCGCCACGGCGAUACUCCUGCUACCUGUUUUUCACCAGGCGUCUUGGAGCUGGCUUCCUGGAUAUUUUUGUUUUACUUCAGUUGUCUCCACAAUAAAUUGAUUGUACUCUUCAA